rnacentral:rRNA from 1 species
AGGCGCGGCGGGGAGCGGCGCGGGUACAGGAGCGGCGAACGGGUGAGUAACACGUGGGUGAUCUGCCCUGUACUUCGGGAUAAGCCUGGGAAACUGGGUCUAAUACCGGAUAUGACCUUGGGCGCGCGAGCGGACUGCAUGGUCUUUGGUGGAAAGAUUUAUCGGUACAGGAUGGGCCCGCGGCCUAUCAGCUUGUUGGUGGGGUAAUGGCCUACCAAGGCGACGACGGGUAGCCGGCCUGAGAGGGCGACCGGCCACACUGGGACUGAGACACGGCCCAGACUCCUACGGGAGGCGCGGCAGCAGUGGGGAAUAUUGCACAAUGGGCGAAAGCCUGAUGCAGCGACGCCGCGUGAGGGAUGACGGCCUUCGGGUUGUAAACCUCUUUCGACAGGGACGAAGCGCAAGUGACGGUACCUGUAGAAGAAGCACCGGCCAACUACGUGCCAGCAGCCGCGGUAAUACGUAGGGUGCGAGCGUUGUCCGGAAUUACUGGGCGUAAAGAGCUUGUAGGCGGUUCGUCGCGUCGUUCGUGAAAGCGCGAGCACUUGGGGCUCAACCCCAAGCUUGCGGGCGAUACGGGCGGACUAGAGUACUUCAGGGGAGACUGGAAUUCCUGGUGUAGCGGUGAAAUGCGCAGAUAUCAGGAGGAACACCGGUGGCGAAGGCGGGUCUCUGGGAAGUAACUGACGCUGAGAAGCGAAAGCGCGAGCGCGGCGUGGGUAGCGAGCAGGAUUAGAUACCCUGGUAGUCCACGCCGUAAACGGUGGGUACUAGGUGUGGGUUUCCUUCCACGGGAUCCGUGCCGUAGCUAACGCAUUAAGUACCCCGCCUGGGGAGUACGGCCGCAAGGCUAAAACUCAAAGGAAGCCGCGCGUUGACGGGGGCCCGCACAAGCGGCGGAGCAUGUGGAUUAAUUCGAUGCAACGCGAAGAACCUUACCUGGGUUUGACAUACACGGCGCGCCCGGAAACCUGCAGAGAUGUAGGCCCCCUUGUGGUCGGUGUACAGGUGGUGCAUGGCUGUCGUCAGCUCGUGUCGUGAGAUGUUGGGUUAAGUCCCGCAACGAGCGCAACCCUUAGCGCGAGGCGCUCUUAUGUUGCCAGCGCGUAAUGGCGGGGACUCGUGAGAGACUGCCGGGGUCAACUCGGAGGAAGGUGGGGACGACGUCAAGUCAUCAUGCCCCUUAUGUCCAGGGCUUCACACAUGCUACAAUGGCCGGCACAGAGGGCUGCGAUACCGUGAGGGCCGCGCGCGGUGGAGCGAAUCCCUUAAAGCCGGUCUCAGUUCGGAUCGGGGUCUGCAACUCGACCCCGUGAAGUUGGAGUCGCUAGUAAUGCGCGCCCGG